ACCUACGGGGCGCAGCAGUGGGGGAUAUUGCACAAUGGGGGGAACCCUGAUGCAGCGACGCCGCGUGGGUGAAGGAGCGUUUCGGCGCGUAAAGCCCUAUCGGCAGGGAAGAAGAUGACGGUAUCUGACCAAGAAGCCCCGGCUAACUACGUGCCAGCAGCCGCGGUAAUACGUAGGGGGCAAGCGUUAUCCGGAUUUACUGGGUGUAAAGGGAGCGUAGACGGAAGCACAAGUCUGGAGGGAAAUUCCGGGGCUUAACCCCGGAACUGCUUUGGAAACUGGGCGGCUGGAGUGCAGGAGGGGUA
rnacentral:rRNA from 1 species